AAAAAAAGUGAGUACAUUAACUAGGUGCAUGAGCAGGAGAACUGUGUUGGUUUAUGAGGUGACGGCUUUUCAUAUACAUUAACUCGUGCCAUGAAACAGUCCAAAGUUAAACCCACUUCGUCUUUUCCAUUUUAGCAGGCCUCCUGGAAUAGACUGGCGAGGCGUUCGGGAUAAAGACUUUACCAGGGGGGAAAAAAUCUGCCCAGGCCAGACUCUAUCUGAGUGUGGCAACCCCGAAUGACCCACGGGGGCGUCACCGCGGACCGGAAGUGACCUGACGGCGAACCGGAAGUGGCUGGACGGAAAUUCGGAAGUGGUUUUCUGUCACCAUUAGCUGAAGCAAGCGAGCUAAAUUAACCUUUAAGCUACUUCUUACUUACUGUUUUGAGUAUUGCUCAAUGGGGUGAGUUGAUGAAUGUUGUAAGCUAGAGAUAUGUGUUCUAUAUGUGUGUUUUGACAAAUUAGCUUUAAGCUAAUGAAAAUGCUAGUGGUUUCAUGGUUUAUUUUGUACAAGUCGCUAAUUAGCACAAUGGUAGCUCUUGUUUAUUGCACAGUGGUAUGUAAUGCUGAUGUCCAUUAUACCUUAUAGCAGUCGUCCCCAAUCCCCGGGCCGCGGACCGGUACCGGUCCGUGGACCAAUUGGUACCGGGCCGCGUAAGAAACUAUUAAAUAUUUCCGUUUUACGUA